rnacentral:rRNA from 1 species
UACGGGGGGGGCAAGCGUUGUUCGGAAUUACUGGGCGUAAAGGGCUCGUAGGCGGCCAACUAAGUCAUACGUGAAAUCCCUCGGCUUAACCGGGGAACUGCGUCUGAUACUGGAUGGCUUGAGUUCGGGAGAGGGAUGCGGAAUUCCAGGUGUAGCGGUGAAAUGCGUAGAUAUCUGGAGGAACACCGGUGGCGAAGGCAGGUCUCUGGGCUGACACUGACGCUCAUGCACGAAAGCGUGGGGAGCAAACAGG